AGCGAACGCUGGCGGCAGGCCUAACACAUGCAAGUCGAACGAACUCUUCGGAGUUAGUGGCGGACGGGUGAGUAACACGUGGGAACGUGCCUUUAGGUUCGGAAUAACUCAGGGAAACUUGUGCUAAUACCGAAUGUGCCCUUCGGGGGAAAGAUUUAUCGCCUUUAGAGCGGCCCGCGUCUGAUUAGCUAGUUGGUGAGGUAAAGGCUCACCAAGGCUACGAUCAGUAGCUGGUCUGAGAGGAUGACCAGCCACAUUGGGACUGAGACACGGCCCAAACUCCUACGGGAGGCAGCAGUGGGGAAUCUUGCGCAAUGGGCGAAAGCCUGACGCAGCCAUGCCGCGUGGAUGAUGAAGGUCUUAGGAUUGUAAAAUCCUUUCACCGGUGAAGAUAAUGACUGUAGCCGGAGAAGAAGCCCCGGCUAACUUCGUGCCAGCAGCCCGCGGUAAUGUAGUCGUGU
rnacentral:rRNA from 1 species